UCUCCACAUUGAUUACUCCAGGUCUAAAUACUAGCUUGAAAGGGGAAUUAGACUUUAUGUAUUGCCAAAAGCUAUUGGUAUUCUCUUGCUAAGCAUGUCACCAACUGCUGAAUGUUCAGAGCCUACUAUGAACUUGAAAGAAAACAGAGCAUUGACCCCUGCAUUGAUCCCUCUCUCUCCAAAUAUAUUCUUACCCACAUUGCUUUCCUCUCAUGGAUAGAGAUGUAUUCCUACAACACCCAGACUUUGAACAUGUUUUGCAUCCUUCCCUCUCCUCGCCUCUCCCUGUCUAAUAUAUCUCUAUCAAGCUUUGCGUUUGCUAGGAGGCACACCAUUCAUUUCAGUGAUCUCUGCUAUUGGGUCCUGCAUGAAAAAGAAGCUGAGCAACAUGAUCCCUUUGACCCACUGCUGGAGCAACAAAUUUAUCAGAAAUAUAGGCAUGAGAAAUGAAAGGGAAGUAAAACAAUUCCAGCUUA
ensembl:lncRNA novel transcript, antisense to PTCH1